ACACUUACUCGAAAGCUCGGGCAAGGACAACGGGUAACGCGUGUUAUAAUGGACCGCACGUUACGUAUAGGAAGUGACCGGGACCGAUUGUCGUCCGUGAACAGACACGCGCGUUACCUAUGUACCGUUUUUUUUUUUUCUAUCAUAAUAAACUACUCUUAUGCGACGCACACGAAACGACGUUUUCCGAUAUCCACGGUCCGUUUUUCGGAACGCCGAAAAUAGAUAAGACAUUAAAUUCGAACCGUCGGUUUUUACUUGUAAUAAUACCGGGGAAAUUCGUGUAUCUAAACUGUUCAGGCGCAGUAAUAAUAAAAAUAUAUUAUUAUAAACAACCGAAACCGCCGGGUAAACAAAAUCGUUACUCAUUUUUUUACGACAAUCCCGUUUGUAUUUUUUGGUUAAUACAGUGUCGUUUGUUGUUAUAUCGAGUGUCGUAAUCUUUUACGCUUGUAUAGAUCGAGACAUGUAUAAUAAGAAAUUAAAAAUUAUUCAUACUUAAUACUAAUACACUAGGUAAGUGCACAUAAUCCGGAUCAACCAUG